GCCCUGCUAGCUCAGUGGUAGAGCGUCGCACUCGUAUACAUGCCUGCUACAAAGGUUUCUACGAUGCGAAGGUCAGUCGUUCAAGUCGGCUGUGGGGCA